rnacentral:rRNA from 1 species
ACGGAGGGGGCUAGCGUUGUUCGGAAUUACUGGGCGCAAAGCGCACGUAGGCGGCUUUGUAAGUUAGAGGUGAAAGCCCAGGGCUUAACCCUGGAAUUGCCUUUAAGACUGCAUCGCUAGGAUUGUGGAGAGGUAAGUGGAAUUCCGAGUGUAGAGGUGAAAUUCGUAGAUAUUCGGAAGAACACCAGUGGCGAAGGCGGCUCACUGGACGACUGUUGACGCUGAGGUGCGAAAGCGUGGGGAGCAAACAGGA